AUUUUUUUACUCAUGUUUAUGGAAUACCUUGCUCAAGAUCACCCAUUUAAUUUUACAUCAGCACAUUCCAAGAGGUUAAGAAAACGCGUGGCUACAACCAUAUUCCAAGGAAGGGCCCUCAGUUUCGAGGAUUUCUAAACAGGCAUGGAUGGACGGGCAUGCAUACGAAUUGGAUGUCAUUUUAUUAUUGCUUGAAAGAUGUAUUUUAUUAUUGAUUGAAAGGUGUAUUUUAUUAUU